CCUGGGUGUGUGGGUCUCCCUCUACGAAAGUGCCUCUUCGGGGUCUUUCAUUUGGGGGCUCGUCCGGGAUCGAGACCCGCCCAGGGACCACCGACCCACGUCUGGGAGGUAAAAGACACCCCAAGGGCCCCCCUUCCUUUCCCCCUCUAACCGCCCGCCGCCGCCCCCGCCAGAGGCAGAAGCGGCCGCCGCCGCCUAGCUCCCCUUAACCUCGGAGGAGAAACAGCUGCCCAAUGAAAUUGAUGCAGCUUGCCCUCUUAAAAGACCUGAAUGGGAUUUUACCACUGAAGCAGUUUAUAAUGUCAGACAGACUGCCAGAUCCUGACAAUGACCCGAAGAUUACAGGCACCUCAGUUCCUGCACCUGGACCAAUGAGCAGAUGCUCAGAUAUGAAACCUGCCGCCUGCCAGAACCUGGCCGAGACUGUGGACAAAGCUGCUGGACGCUGGAAAAUUGAUUGUACCCCUUUGCCUAGACAAAACAAG
rnacentral:lncRNA from 1 species